rnacentral:rRNA from 1 species
AAUCAACGCUGGCGGCGUGCCUCAGACAUGCAAGUCGAACGAUUAAAGCUCUCUUCGGAGAGUGUAUAGAGUGGCGCACGGGUGAGUAACACGUAAGUAAUCUACCUUUGAGUGGGGAAUAACAAUCGGAACGAUUGCUAAUACCGCAUAAUGCAGCGGCAUCGCAGGAUGACAGUUGUUAAAGGAGCAAUCCGCUUAAAGAGGAGCUUGCGGCAGAUUAGCUAGUUGGUAAGGUAAUGGCUUACCAAGGCUACGAUCUGUAACCGGUCUAAGAGGACGGUCGGUCACACUGACACUGAAUAACGGGUCAGACUCCUACGGGAGGCAGCAGUCGGGAAUUUUGGGCAAUGGGCGAAAGCCUGACCCAGCAACGCCGCGUGAAGGAUGAAGUAUUUCGGUAUGUAAACUUCGAAAGAAUAGGAAGAAUCAAUGACGGUACUAUUUAUAAGGUCCGGCUAACUACGUGCCAGCCGCCG